rnacentral:rRNA from 1 species
GACGGAGGGGGCUAGUGUUGUUCGGAAUCACUGGGCGUAAAGCGCACGUAGGCGGAUUGUUAAGUCAGGGGUGAAAUCCCGAGGCUCAACCUCGGAACUGCCUUUGAUACUGGCGAUCUAGAGUCCGGGAGAGGUGAGUGGAACUGCGAGUGUAGAGGUGAAAUUCGUAGAUAUUCGCAAGAACACCAGUGGCGAAGGCGGCUCACUGGCCCGGAACUGACGCUGAGGUGCGAAAGCGUGGGGAGCAAACAGG